rnacentral:lncRNA from 1 species
GUCAUUUUUGGUAUAUUGAAUUCUGAUAACUUAGUGUUAAACUAUUGUAUUUUACAGGCAAAAUAUUACAUUCAUUAUGUAAAGUACACACAAUUAGACAGAUUGUUAAUAUCUGUGCAAUCUUUUCUCAAAUUUUUGAAAAGACGUCUGGAGAUAUUAGAAUAUUUAUAUCUUUCUAAAGACAAGCACGAGUCAUUUGUCGACAGAUGGGGGGAAUUUAUGGAAAUUAUUAAUUAAAUUUUAUUCUCGAUAUGAUCAUGUAUAUUUAAUGUAUUCCAAAGUAUCUUUUACUUGUAUCAUAUACCGAUUAUUCACAUCAUUUACUUGUAUUUGUUUUUACUAUGUCUUAUUCGUAAAAUAUCAAUAGUAUGACUAUGCCAUAUGUCAAUCACUUAUAUAUUGUAAAAAUGUAUGUAUGUAUGU